rnacentral:rRNA from 1 species
UGGGGAAUAUUGGACAAUGGGCGCAAGCCUGAUCCAGCAAUGCCGCGUGAGUGAUGAAGGCCUUAGGGUUGUAAAGCCCUUUCGCACGCGACGAUGAUGACGGUAGCGUGAGAAGAAGCCCCGGCUAACUUCGUGCCAGCAGCCGCGGUAAUACGAAGGGGGCUAGCGUUGUUCGGAAUUACUGGGCGUAAAGGGCGCGUAGGCGGCCUGUUUAGUCAGAAGUGAAAGCCCCGGGCUCAACCUGGGAAUAGCUUUUGAUACUGGCAGGCUUGAGUUCCGGAGAGGAUGGUGGAAUUCCCAGUGUAGAGGUGAAAUUCGUAGAUAUUGGGAAGAACACCGGUGGCGAAGGCGGCCAUCUGGACGGACACUGACGCUGAGGCGCGAAAGCGUGGGGAGCAAACAGGAUUAGAUACCCUGGUAGUCCACGCCGUAAACGAUGGAUGCUAGACGUCGGGGUGCAUGCACUUCGGUGUCGCCGCUAACGCAUUAAGCAUUCCGCCUGGGGAGUACGGCCGCAAGGUUAAAACUCAAAGGAAUUGACGGGGUCAUAGCUGUUUCCU